rnacentral:rRNA from 1 species
AUUGAACGCUGGCGGCAUGCUUUACACAUGCAAGUCGUACGGUAACAGGUUAAGCUGACGAGUGGCGAACGGGUGAGUAAUGCAUCGGAACGUGCUCGGUCGUGGGGGAUAACGCAGCGAAAGCUGCGCUAAUACCGCAUACGAUCUGAGGAUGAAAGCGGGGGACGGUAAGGCCUCGCGCGAUCGGAGCGGCCGAUGUCAGAUUAGGUAGUUGGUGGGGUAAAGGCCCACCAAGCCGACGAUCUGUAGCUGGUCUGAGAGGAAGACCAGACACACUGGGACUGAGACACGGCCCAGACUCCUACGGGAGUCAGCAGUGGGGAAUUUUGGGCAAUGGGCGAAAGCCUGAUCCAGCAAUGCCGCGUGCAGGAAGAAGGCCUUCGGGUUGUAAACUGCUUUUGUACGGAGCGAAAAGGUCCUUUCUAAUACAAGGGGCUCAUGACGGUACCGUAAGAAUAAGCACCGGCUAACUACGUGCCAGCCGCCGCAGUAA